AUAAUGCAGUCGAGCGAAUGGAUUAAGAGCUUGCUCUUAUGAAGUUAGCGGCGGACGGGUGAGUAACACGUGGGUAACCUGCCCAUAAGACUGGGAUAACUCCGGGAAACCGGGGCUAAUACCGGAUAACAUUUUGAACUGCAUGGUUCGAAAUUGAAAGGCGGCUUCGGCUGUCACUUAUGGAUGGACCCGCGUCGCAUUAGCUAGUUGGUGAGGUAACGGCUCACCAAGGCAACGAUGCGUAGCCGACCUGAGAGGGUGAUCGGCCACACUGGGACUGAGACACG
rnacentral:rRNA from 1 species